UACGGAGGGGGCAAGCGUUGUUCGGAAUCAUUGGGCGUAAAGGGCGCGUAGGCGGCCGUCCAAGUCGGGUGUGAAAUCCCUCGGCUCAACCGAGGAACUGCACUCGAUACUGGUUGGCUAGAGUCCGGGAGGGGAUGGUGGAAUUCCCAGUGUAGCGGUGAAAUGCGUAGAUAUUGGGAAGAACACCGGUGGCGAAGGCGGCUCUCUGGACCGAUACUGACGCUGAGGCGCGAAAGCGUGGGGAGCAAACAGG
rnacentral:rRNA from 1 species